rnacentral:rRNA from 1 species
GACGAACGCUGGCGGCGUGCUUAACACAUGCAAGUCGAACGAACCAAAGGGAGCUUGCUCCCGGAGGUUAGUGGCGAACGGGUGCGUAACACGUGAGGAACUUGUCCUUCGGCGGGGGAUAGCCGGCCCAACGGCCGGGUAAUACCGCGUAAGCCGUUCGCGUCGCAUGGCGUGAUCGGGAAAGCAGCAAUGCACCGAAGGAGAGCCUCGCGGCCUAUCAGCUUGUUGGUGGGGUAAAAGCCCACCAAGGCGACGACGGGUAGCUGGUCUGAGAGGAUGAUCAGCCACAUUGGGACUGAGACACGGCCCAG